ensembl:lncRNA
CGUUAGUUAAAGUGAACCAAAAGAGAAGAUGCCACCUUUUCAGCCCCACUAAGCACAUUUGAGUGCUAAAUGAUCACCUAUAGUGGCUACUGUAUUCGACGGGGCAGGUAUAGAAUAUUUCCAACAUUGUGGCAAGUGCUAUUGGGCAGCCAGAGCAUACAAUCUUGAAAAUAUUCAUGGGCAUCCUGGAGCCAGCUUUCUUCAAGCCAGCUGAUUGCUUAGUGAAGCAUUCCCUGCUUAGCUGCUUCAAUCUUUCUUCGCAUCAUUUUAGCUGAUCUCUUCCGAACUGCUGCCAAUCUGUCUGCAUCUUCUUGAUGCCAUGGUACUCUGGAUUGAACACCAGGUAUAUGUAUAUAGACUCUCACCUCCUUGUCUCAUUAGAUGCCUUUGGCAACAAAUACACCACAAUCAGUGCAGUGACUCAGCUGUGCGCAUGCCCGUGUCCGCGCUGUUGAAUCCCGUCCGCUGGCCCCGCCCUCUGUCGUCACAGUAGGCUCCCACUGGCUCUGCCUCGCGCCUGGCAGUGUAUAGAUGUCAGGGCUGCCCUCAGCUCGUCCCAGCUCUCCUCGCUUGCUGUGUCCACGUGCCGGUUCUGUGUCUUCAGCUGAACUUAAGGAGGAUGAGAUUAGGACACAGACACAUACGGAGGCAGGACCCUGUGAAGACACAGGGGGAAGACAGGCUUCUAUAAGCCGAGGAGAAAAGACUCAGAAAAAACCAACCUUGCUGAUAUCUUGAUCUCAGACUUCCAGCCUCCAGAAUCCUCUGACUCAGACCCGGGGCAGCUGGACUAAAGAGCCAAUCGGUUAAUGCCUCACCUCUGAUAUACUGAGGCCUCUGGUGACUUAGCCUUAGCUACAGCAUCUUCUCUGCUGGACCCUGAACCUCUGCCUGCAGCUGAAUUGCUCUACUUCCUCCUCACGGCCACCACUGACCAGGGAGGAGCCAUGGAACCAGGAUGGGGAUCCAUCCUUGGUCAGGAAGUUCAAGUCCACAUGCCACAGCUAAAGAUUCCUUACGCUGCAAUGAAUAUUGAAGAUCCCCCAAGUAGCAACUAAGACUUGGUACAGCCAAAUAAAUAAAUAAAACUAAAUAUUUUGUAAAAAGAAUCUAUCAAAGAGUUU